rnacentral:rRNA from 1 species
UGAGUUUAAGUUUUGAGUUUUGAACUUUGAGUUUUGAGUUUGUUGAGCCGAGCUUUGCGAGGCGCAACUAUAUGACGGUACCUCAUGAAUAAGGGGCUGCAAAACUCGUGCCAGCAGCAGCGGUAAAACGAGUGCCCCAAGCGUUACCCGGAAUUACUGGGCGUAAAGAGUGCGUCGGUGGUUCUGAUUAGUCCUCCGUUAAAACUCCCGGCCCAACCGGGAAGCUGCGGAGGAAACGGCAGAACUAGAGAAGGCGAGGGGUCUAUGGAACUCAUGGUGUAGGGGUGAAAUCCGUUGAUAUCAUGGGGAACACCAAAAGCGAAGGCAAUAGACUGGCGCCUGUCUGACACUCAAGCACGAAAGCGUGGGGAGCGAACGGGAUUAGAUACCCCGGUAGUCCACGCCCUAAACGAUGUUCUCUAGCUUUUUGGAGUAUCGACCCUCUGAGAGGCACAGCUAACGCGUUAAGAGAACCGCCUGGGAAGUACGGCCGCAAGGCUAAAACUCAAAAGAAUAGACGGGGGCUCGCACAAGCGGUGGAUUAUGUGGUUUAAUUCGAUGCUAAACGAAGAACCUCACCAAGGCUAGACAUCCAACUGAAGGGUCUGGGAAACCAGGUCUCUCCCACAAGGACAGUUGGACAGGUGAUGCAUGGUUGUCGUCAGUUCGUGGUUUGAAUUGUUCCCUUAAGUGGGGUAACGAACGCAACCCUUGUCGUCUGUUAUAAGUGUCAGACGAGACUGCCCUGCUUAGCAGGGAGGAAGCGAGGAUGACGCCAAAUCAGCAUGUCCCUCGACGCCUUGGGCUACACACAUAAUACAAUGGUCAUUACAGAGAGUCGCAAUAUCGUAAGAUGGAGCUAAUCUUUAAAAGUGGCCCCAGUUCGGAUUGAGGUCUGCAACUCGACCUCAUGAAGCCGGAAUCGCUAGUAAUCGCAGGUCAGCUAUACUGCGGUGAAUACGUUCUCGAGCCUUGUACUCACUGCCCGUCAAGCCAGGGGAGCCGGGAGUGCCCAAAGUGCCGUUUCGGCGGUCCUAAGGCAAGCUCGGUAACAAGGGUUAAGUCGUAACAAGGCACGGCUAGCGGAAGCUGGUCGUG